GACGAACGCCGGCGGCGUGCUUAACACAUGCAAGUUGAACGAGAAUUUUUCGAGUGAUUUCUUCGGAAUGAUCAUGAAAAAGGAAAGUACGGAAGGGGUGAUUACCCCGGGAGAACCUUGCUUUUAACAAGGGGAAAGCUCCGGAAAACGGGAAUUAUUACCUUAUGAAACAAAACACCCCCUGGAGGGAUGGGUAAAAGAUUUAUCGGUGUUAGAUGGUCUCGCGUCUGAUUAGCUAGUUGGUGGGAUAAAAGCCUACCAAGGCAACGAUCAGUAGCCGGAUUGAGAGGUUGAACGGCCACACUGGAACUGAGACACGGUCCAGACUCCUACGGGAGGCAGCAGUGGGGAAUUUUGCACAAUGGAGGAAACUCUGAUGCAGCGACGCCGCGUGAGUGAUGAAGGUCUUCGGAUUGUAAAACUCUGUCCUUAGUGAAGAUAAUGACAGUAACUAAGAAGCAAGCCCUGGCUAAAUACGUG
rnacentral:rRNA from 1 species